CCCCACAAUUACCUCAUCAUUUAAUAUUUAUUUCAGGGAGGCAGAAUGUUAAAAAAUAAGAAUCUUUAAUGAGGUAGAACACCCUUUGUAUGGGUCACAAUUGUUGGUAGUGAAUCAUAGCACCGUACUGUGGAAUUAGAAAUGAUAAGGAGCUCUAAGUAGUCAGUACCUGUGGCAGUCCUUUCUGGCAACCUUUACAUGUUAUUAUGGUUCGGGCUAAAUGGAAUUGCUCAAGCCAUAUGUGGUUAGUAACAAACACCAUUAGAGCCCUGAGAGUACUGAAAUUUAUUUCCUCUUUAGGGGAGAAAAUGGAUGAGGUCAGAGUACUUCACUAUGCUUACUACACUGUGUGGUGUAUUUGAGAAAGGCAGAUGGCAACUGGUAACUCAUAGCAACUACAGGGAGCUGAAUCAAGUUGUCACAAGCAUUGCUACAACUCUUCCUGACCUUGUAAUAUAAUAGAACAGGUAAGCCUAGGUCUUAGAAUAAGUGAUAUGAAGAUUAUUACCUUGCUGAUAAUUUUCUUCUUUCCUCUAUUUUUGUGGCUAUGACUUAUCAGGAGCAGUUCACUUUCAUCCAGAAGGAAGUACAGUCUACUUCCACCAUCCCUACUCAGGGAUACCUGAACUCUUAGUUAUAAUGGCACAAUCUGUCAUGUGAGGAGACAGAGCACAAAUUACUGGAGGGAAUCAACAGUUUAUCAGUAGGUCGUGAUAUAUGGAGUCUUGACUCAAAAGUCAAACUGGAAACUAAAAUCAGUUUACAGAAGGGUUCCAUAUUACAAAAAGGCUUAAGAAUACUUGUUAACGCUACAACCAAAACUGAAGCUAACUCAAAGGACUGAGCUACAAUAAUGAUACAGUGAAGGGGGAAAAAAAUCCAAACAAAACAUAUGGCAAAGAAAAUGAGAAGGCAGAAGCAUAAAGUCAGUGUAUAGAAAGAGAUGGAAGAUGGAAAAGAGAUGAUGAAUGGGGCCAUCUCUGGUAAAAGACAGGUAAGGAGUCCAAGUAGAGGAAGCAGCAAAUGCCAGGCCACUUCUUCUGCAGAAUCCUGAACAAAGAGAGAACUGGGGUGGCAUAGAAGAGACCAGAGGUAUGUAAAAACAAAAAAUAUAUACACUUUAUUUUCUUAGUAAAGUAAGGGUUAAGUCUUUUCGUAGGAGGACAAAGCAAAGUCUAGGGAUCUUGAAGGUUGAAUCAAAAUUAGAGAAGAUAUAUGGUUUUUCCCCCUCAAAUUACCUAUUUUUAAAUUUUGAGUUCUAAAUUCUUUUCCUCCUGCCUCACCAUUUGAGAUAUUUAUGUGACUAAUAUCAAUUAGACAUGAGAUUAUGCAAAAUCUAUUUCCAUAUUAUCCAUUAUUACACGCACACACACAAAAAAAGGGCAAGAAAAAUGUUAGAAAACCAUGUUACAAUUUGCAGAAUUUACUAGUUCUUUCCCUGGAGUUGUACAGCAAUUCUCAUCAAGAAUCCUUUGGAAUUUCCUUGAAUCACUGUCUUUAUCAGAGUAACUAAGUCUUUCACAGUAGAUCACCAUUAUAAUAGUGCUAAUGCAAUGUACAAUGAUCUGAUUCUGCUGACUUCAUGCUACAUCAGUUCACAUUAAGUCUUAGUCAUGUUUUUCUGUAACCAUUCCUCCUUGUCAUUUCUUAUAAUAGAACAAUGUUCCAUCACAAUUGUAUAAUACAAUUUGUUUAGUCAUUUUCCAAUUGCUCGGACUCUUCUUCAAUUUCUAAUGUUUGGGCACCAGAGAAAUAACUGCUACAAAUAUUUUUGGCUUAUAAGUCCCUUUCCUUAUUCUUUAAUCUCGUUGGAGGUACAGACCUAAUAAUUGGCAUUGCUGAGUCAAAGAGUUUUAUAGCCCUUUAGCUUUAGUGCCAAACUGAACAGAUGGACUAAUUCACAACUCCACCAAAAGCUCAUUAGUGUAAUUUCUUUCCCUACCUCUUCCAUCAUUUGUCAUUUCCAAUAGGUUUUGUGAAGUGGUAUCUAAUCAGUGAUUUAUUUGAUUUUACGAACAUAGUUUUGAUGGCUUUUUCUGAAAAUUGCCUGUUUUAUAUCCCUUGACAAUUUAUCAAUUAGGGAAUUGCUCUGAAUUUUAUAAAUUUGAUUUCAUUCCCUAUAUAUUUGAGAGAAGAGACCUUUGUCAAACUAAGUAUAAAUUUUUUUUUUAUAUUACUUCACUGUCUAUGGCACCUUUUAUCAAAAUGUAGUUUCCCUGACUCUGUUGUUCCAUCAUAUCCAAUUCUUAAUGACCACAUUUUGGGGUUUUCUUAGGAAUUACUGGAGUGGGCUGCCAUUUCCUUCUCCAGUUCAUUUUACAGAUCAAGCACCAAAGUAAACCGGGUUAAGCAACUUUUUCCAGGAUCACACAAUAAGUAUUUAAAAUCAAGAUAAGUCUUUCUCAUGCCAAGGUUAAUGUUUUUUCCUCUAUAAACCACUUAGUUUCUCUGUUACCUUCUUUAAUUAGUUCUACUUUUGGUCUGUUUGAGAUCUUGAGGGCUACUUCCUGUCUAUUUCAGUUGAAGCAGGACAAAUUAUCUCCUUAUUUUAACUGUGUCCUGUUUCAAAUGUCCAUUUUGUAAAAACAUUUAUUGGAUUUUGGUUUCUAAUCCAUUUUACUCUCAUCAGAUAAGGUUACCCUAUUCACACAGUUAUGAUGACUGUUUCCUUCCUCUAGUUUUCCUGUUUUUAUCCCUUCUCACAAUUGUUUUGCUUCUAACCACUGUCUCCCUAAUCUACCCUCCCUCUUUAUUAUCUUCCUUUCCUCUUUCUCUUAUUUUCCUUCCUCUGGUAUUUAUUUCCCUAAUCCCAAACUCUGGAGAAAGAAAAGGGGAGAAAUAGAGAUAAGGUAAAAUGCAUGAGUAUGUCUGCACGCGCACACACACACACACACAUAC